rnacentral:misc_RNA from 1 species
GAAUGCAUUUACUAUGACAGACAAUACCUUGGCCAGUUUAAAGAAGAUGUGCCAAACCCAAAUUACUUUGAUAUGAAAUAUAUAUUCCCAAUGCGCCUUAGAGCCGUACUGGAGUUGAUGAGAAGUCUUAAAGAGGACUUCACUCCUGGGUCAGAAUACAAGGAGACUACGCUUUGCAAAGGCUUGAGGCUAAUGGGAUUGCUGCUUCCUGGAAUUGCUUCACACAACCCUGNNNNNNNNNNNCUUGGAAGGGAGAAGGCUGCUCGAUUGACCUCAAUUACCCUUUCAUGAGAUUAUCUAUGAGGCA